CUUUACGAUGCCAGGUAGUGAAUGUUCUGUAUGGGAAGCUGCUCAGGUCAAGUACACCAGCUGGAGUAGUUACUCAUUGUCCUUUCAUUCAGUCCAGCUACCUUCUAGCUGUAGGAAAACAGUAGUUAUUUCCCAGGAGGAAGACUCGUAAUGCCAUGAGCUGUGUAGUGCCAUAUAUGUGGCAAUGACUGUCUGCAGUUUGUCCCACUCAUGAUCCAGUCUUACUUGUUGUUUAUAUUUGGAUGCAUGUACCCAAAUGUUCUCUUGCAUAAACACAGUGUGUGUAAAUAAAGCGUUACCGAGUGGUUAUGUAGUUGUAAGGGUAUGUUGAGAUGCCUACACAAUUUCAGUGCAGCCACAACAACUGACUGUAUGGGGGAGGGUGAGGGCCACUGUCAUCAGUAACCAUCAUACAUGAAAUGGUUUUCUAAGGUUAAGCUGAAAAAGCGUGCCUGUCAUUCCAUAUUUUUUGGUGACACCAGGAAAUCUGCAGUUGUUUGCUCCCCCAAAACCCUGUCUGCAGCUGCGGGAGAACCGUGGUGGUAGUGGCUAAGCUGAAGUGUGUCUUCAUUGCUCCCUGAGUGCACAUCUAUUUCAGAUCACUGCUGAUUUAUCUCCUGAACGGGGGAGCGUUUCACACUUCUGAAAUGAAAGCACUCUACAAACUCUUA